AUUUUAGUUUCAGCAUAGUUGUGGGUAAAAUGAAACCCCAGAUUGUUGGGGUCAAUAGGCUGACUCUGUAAACCUCUCAGAGAGGGCUGUACAAGCACAGUGAAGCGGAAUAUAAGUUUAAGUGCUAUUGCUAUUGCCAUCUAUCUAUCUAUCUCACCAGGCUCAAGGUUGACUCAGCCUUCCUUCCUUCUGAGAGAUGAAGAAGAGCUGUGAAAGUCCCUUUCGGAAUUGGCAGACCCCAAUUCAAAGUCUACCAAAUACAUCAGCAACCCCUUCCUGGACUUCUCACUAUUGUUCCGAAUCUUAUGUGCAGCAGGCCACCCUGGAAAAAUGAAGGUGGAUGGGCCGGAUGUCAGCACUUCAAGCUGCAUUUACUCUACUGCUGACAUAAGAAGGAGAAGCGGAGGCAUCUGGAAAGGGACGUUUGACUUUUCACCUACUUAUUUUCCCUGGAGAUAAUAUCCCCUAGGAGAUGGGAUGGGAGGGGGGAAAUACCUUUGAGCUGGAGCAGUAGAUUAGGGGUAGAGUGACUUGGAAGAUGGCCAAUGAGUACAGGGGAGUGGGGAAUGGAAAGGGAGGGUUUUGGGUCUGGA